GCAAAGGGCGCCACGUGUGGCGCUUUGCGAGUACCUGAAGAAAAAGCAUCGGCUAACUCCGUGCCAGCAGCCGCGGUAAUACGGAGGAAUGCGAGCGUUAUCCGGAUUUAUUGGGUUUAAAGGGUGCGCAGGCGGAAUGUCAAGUCAGCGGUAAAAUUUCGGGGCUCAACCCCGUCGUGCCGUUGAAACUGGCGUUCUUGAGUGAGCGAGAAGUAUGCGGAAUGAGUGGUGUAGCGGUGAAAUGCAUAGAUAUCACGCAGAACUCCGAUUGCGAAGGCAGCAUACCGGCGCUCAACUGACGCUCAUGCAC
rnacentral:rRNA from 1 species